AGAAGUCUGAAUCAGCAUUAUGAUUCUUUCACAAAUAACCAACAUAUAGAAAUGUAAUAAGAACUUAUCUAAACGUUGAGCUUUUCGUUUCGCAGAGCAUGGUUUUGUUGUUAAAGUUUGAUUAAUUUUACGAUGUUACUUGUGGAGUAAACAAAAUUUACCUUUCGUAAUUCUCUAUGUACUUAUUGCAUUAUUAGAUACAAUCAGUAGAAAACGAUCACAUAUCCAGGUUUAUGACCGUAUCCUUCUUCCAGUUGUGGCGUUUGAAAAAAGUUUGUUACCGUUACCAUCUUCUCAUAUCGUCAUCAAUGCUCAUGAAAAUAUAAACCAUUUAAAACAAAUAGAAUUUAUGAAACUAGAAAUAAGUUAGAACAAAACUUACAUUUGAUAACCAUAAUAAUUUUAAAUUUCCGUGAGGAGCCUACAUACGCCCUCCAGUAUCCGGAGGGCAUAUUUCGCUAUUGAGAGGUUUCCGGGGGUUACUCAUUUGGUAAUAUUUUACGUUGUUUUUAAUGGUUAAUGUCCCGCCGUUCUCCGUGGUCUUUUAUAUGGGGCAGCUACAUAUGCCCUCCGGUAUCCGGAGAGUACAUUUCGCUAUACAGAGGUUGUUGCUUCCUGGGUAAUAUUUACA